rnacentral:rRNA from 1 species
GGUUGACCUCGGAUCAGGUAGGGAUACCCGCUGAACUUAAGCAUAUCAAUAAGCGGAGGAAAAGAAACCAACCGGGAUUGCCUCAGUAACGGCGAGUGAAGCGGCAAGAGCUCAAAUUUGAAAGCUGGCUCCUUCGGGGUCCGCAUUGUAAUUUGCAGAGGAUGCUUCGGGUGCAGCCCCCGUCUAAGUGCCCUGGAACGGGCCGUCAUAGAGGGUGAGAAUCCCGUAUGGGGCGGGGUGUCUGCGUCCGUGUGAAGCUCCUUCGACGAGUCGAGUUGUUUGGGAAUGCAGCUCUAAAUGGGUGGUAAAUUUCAUCUAAAGCUAAAUACUGGCCGGAGACCGAUAGCGCACAAGUAGAGUGAUCGAAAGAUGAAAAGCACUUUGAAAAGAGAGUUAAACAGCACGUGAAAUUGUUGAAAGGGAAGCGCUUGCAACCAGACUCGCUCGCGGGGUUCAGCCGGGCUUCGGCCCGGUGUACUUCCCCGCGGGCGGGCCAGCGUCGGUUUGGGCGGCCGGUCAAAGGCCUCCGGAAUGUAGCGCCCUUCGGGGCGCCUUAUAGCCGGGGGUGCAAUGCGGCCAGCCUGGACCGAGGAAC